AGGGGUAUAGCUCCAUGGUAGAGCACAUGCUUAGCAUGCACGAGGCCCUGGCUUCAAUUCCCCAGUAUCUCCA
rnacentral:tRNA from 1 species